rnacentral:rRNA from 1 species
UACGUAGGGUGCAGGCGUUAAUCGGAAUUACUGGGCGUAAAGCGCACGUAGGCGGUCUUUUAAGUCGGGGGUGAAAUCCUGGAGCUCAACUCCAGAACUGCCUUCGAUACUGGAAGACUUGAGUCCGGGAGAGGUGAGUGGGAACUGCGAGUGUAGAGGUGAAAAUUCGUAGAUAUUCGCAAGAACACCAGUGGCGAAGGCGGCCAACUGGUCCGGUACUGGACGCUGAGGAGCGAAAGUGUGGGGAGCGGAACAGGA